rnacentral:lncRNA from 1 species
GAGCCCUUCUGCACCUAAGCCCUUUCCAGGCUGGGGCGGCUAAGGGUGGCGUCAGGACCCUGGUCCUCGGGCCACCUUGGAAGAGCAGGGCCGAGCUGCCUGGGUUGGCUCCACCUCCCAUUUGCUGUGUGGCCUCAGGGAAGCAAUCUGAACUUUAGGAACCUCUGUCUCUUCCUCUGGGCCGUGGGGAUCAUCAAGGCUGCCCUUUGACGUUGGCCUGAAGGUCAGUGGUGUUUGUCAGGGGUCCUGAACACAGUGGGCCUUCAGGUGAAUGGUACCUGGUACUGUCGUGAUGACUUAGCCCCGUUCAAAACUCUGUAGGUGUUUACUUCUUUAAAGUCCAAGCCGUCGGGAUCCACCGACAUCUGUGAUCCAUGAAUUCAAAUCCCCAAAUUAAGCAUCAAUGAGACUGGAGCAGGAAGGAGGUGCUCCACAGGCCUCCAGUUCGUCAUCCCAGCCAGAGCUCGUCACAGGCAGGGCAGCUUCCUCUUCUAUCAGCUGUUCACGGAGAGGAGAGCACAGAGUGAAAGAGGAGACCCGUGCCAAGGAGCUGGCACCUCCGACAAGGGGACUGUCUCAGCAACUGGAGUGCUGUCACUGGCCUGGCUACUGUCUGUGUCCUGGGACGAGCUGGUCUGGCCCAGGCGCCCUCUGGGACAGAGGCAGAACAACGUGUUCUUAGAGAAGUGUCUACUUACUGAAAUGGGAAAAUGUGGAAGCUGAGUCUGCCUGUGGAUGUGAGCCGCCCAAAGUGUCGAGACUGUGGCUGCCCUGGGCUGAAAACGACCAGUGUCUGGCCUCUAAGUCAUGGGAAGACAAGCGUCGGAUGCCAGGCUGUGGUGUGGCUGUAACAGAAAACAGGUGGCCCUUUUGUUUUGCCCCUGCGUUCUUGUGCUGUCGGCAAAGGUGGGCCCCGGCAGAGCUGGCGUGAGUGAGCGUGGCUGAGGGGGUCUCGCUGGUGUCAGGUGGUUACUUAUUCCAGCACUACGAUGCGUUCCGUUCAGGGCCAAAUGUGGUGGCCUCUUCUCAUUUACCCCCCCAGGCAAAUAUCAAGGAAAUCCUGCAGUCCGCUAUAACCCAUGAUUUAAUAUCUCGGAAAAGGUGUUGUGUUUUUAUUUUGUUCAAGUGUUUGCUUUAGGGCUGAUAUUAGCGUUGCUUUUAAUACAUUCCUUUGAUAAAUUCUCUCCUCUGAAGAGAUGUCUUUUUCUUUUCAAGGCCACACCAAGAAUAUAACUUCGGCUUAUUAUUGGAAACUGGUGUCUUCUAGCUACUGGUUAAUUCAUUAUCGCACAGCACAAUUUUAAAAGACGCUCACAGCCUAGCUCUUUGGCAUUAAUAUCUUUGCAUGUAUGUUUGUGUGUCUGUGUCCAUGUGAGCACUUCAUUUUAGCGAGAUAUGCGAGGGUACUCAUAGAAUACCAUAGUUUUGAGUUAUUGUCAUGCCCAUUUAAAUGCGUAGGUAACUAUGUAGAAAUUUUAAAAAUUUAAGGAAGCACCCCAAAUUGAGUAAUCAAGAGAAAUAAGCAUUUAAUGCAAUUUAAAAAAAAGUUAACUCCCAGAAAUUCACGAUGAACAAAAUACCUCAAUUUUAAAUAAAGACAGAACCCGGUUCUGUCUACCA